rnacentral:rRNA from 1 species
UGGGGGAUAUUGCACAAUGGGCGAAAGCCUGAUGCAGCGACGCCGCGUGGGGGAUGAAGGCCUUCGGGUUGUAAACUUCUUUUGCUCUGAACAAGGCGCACCAUGGGGUGUGUUGAGUGUAGGGGUUGAUUAGCGCCGGCUAACUACGUGCCAGCAGCCGCGGUAAUACGUAGGGCGCGAGCGUUGUCCGGAAUUAUUGGGCGUAAAGGGCUUGUAGGUGGCUGGUUGCGUCUGUCGUGAAAGCUCAUGGCUUAACUGUGGGUUUGCGGUGGGUACGGGCUGGCUUGAGUGCAGUAGGGGAGGCUGGAAUUCCUGGUGUAGCGGUGGAAUGCACAGAUAUCAGGAGGAAUACCGGUGGCGAAGGCGGGUCUCUGGGCUGUUACUGACACUGAGGAGCGAAAGCAUGGGGAGCGAACAGG